rnacentral:rRNA from 1 species
AACGAACGCUGGCGGCAGGCUUAACACAUGCAAGUCGAACGCCCCGCAAGGGGAGUGGCAGACGGGUGAGUAACGCGUGGGAAUCUACCUAGUUCUACGGAACAACACAGGGAAACUUGUGCUAAUACCGUAUACGCCCUACGGGGGAAAGAUUUAUCGGAAUUAGAUGAGCCCGCGUAAGAUUAGCUAGUUGGUGGGGUAAUGGCCUACCAAGGCGACGAUCUUUAGCUGGUCUGAGAGGAUGAUCAGCCACACUGGGACUGAGACACGGCCCAGACUCCUACGGGAGGCAGCAGUGGGGAAUAUUGGACAAUGGGCGAAAGCCUGAUCCAGCCAUGCCGCGUGAAUGAUGAAGGUCUUAGGGUUGUAAAAUUCUUUCACCGGGGACGAUAAUGACGGUACCCGGAGAAGAAGCCCCGGCUAACUUCGUGCCAGCCGCCGCCGUAAUAC